CCUACGGGAGGCAGCAGUCGAGAAUCAUUCACAAUGGGGGAAACGCUGAUGCAGCGACGCCGCGUGAGUGAAGAAGUAUUUCGGUGUGUAAAGCUCUAUCAGCCGGGAAGAAGCAAGACGGUACCUGACUACGAAGCCCCGGCUAACUACGAGCCAGCAGCCGAGGUAAUACGUAGGGGGCAAGCGUUAUCCGGAUUUACUGGGUGUAAAGGGAGCGUAGACGGUAUGGCAAGUCUGAGGUGAAAGCCCAGGGCUUAACCCUGGGACUGCUGUGGAAACUGUUAGCCUAGAGUGCGGGAGGAGUAAGUGGAAUGCCUGGUGUAGCGGUGAAAUGCGUAGAUAUUAGGAGGAACACCAGUGGCGAAGGCAGCUUACUGGACAGUAACUGACGUUGAGGCUCGAAAGCGUGGGGAGCAAACAGGAUUAGAUACCCCAGUAGUC
rnacentral:rRNA from 1 species